rnacentral:rRNA from 1 species
GCGCGAAAACUUUACAAUGCGAGAAAUCGUGAUAAGGGAACCCCGAGUGCCCGUAAAUUCGGGCUGUCCAUCAGUGCAAAAAACUGGUGAAGAAAGAGCCGGGCAAGACCGGUGCCAGCCGCCGCGGUAAUACCGGCGGCUCGAGUGGUGGCCACUAUUACUGGGCUUAAAGCGUCCGUAGCUUGGUUGUUAAGUCUUCUGGGAAAUCCAUCGGCUCAACCGAUGGGCGUUCAGGAGAUACUGGCAACCUAGGGACCGGGAGAGGUGAGAGGUACUCCAGGGGUAGGAGUGAAAUCCUGUAAUCCUUGGGGGACCACCUGUGGCGAAGGCGUCUCACUAGAACGGCUCCGACAGUGAGGGACGAAAGCUGGGGGAGCAAACCGGAUUAGAUACCCGGGUAGUCCCAGCUGUAAACGAUGCGCGUUAGGUGUAUCGGUGACCACGAGUCACCGAGGUGCCGAAGGGAAACCGUGAAACGUGCCGCCUGGGAAGUACGGUCGCAAGGCUGAAACUUAAAGGAAUUGGCGGGGGA